rnacentral:sRNA from 1 species
AGCCUAAACCGGGGAGCAAUUCCUGGCAUGGUGAAAGGAGUCCUGGAAAGACACAAAAAACCCGUCAUGGGGUUGUCUUUCCAGGCCAUAUCGGGAAACCGGUAUGAGGGGCGUAAGCCUCU